CACGGCCGGAGCCCGCGGCUGCCUCGGCGAACCUGCCCGCGCGGCGCCAGGGAAGAAUCCGGGCGGUGGCGCGGGGCGCGUGCGCUCGGCGAGGGCGCCCUCUCCAGGGCCGUCUUCAGUCUGCGGGACGGGGCUGAGUGCCUGCUGGCCAGCGAGGUCCAGUGCAGACUUGGGUCAAGGACACGGCAGAUUCUCUCCUCUGCUCUCCCGGGUGCACCGUUCCCAGCUGGUCUUUGCUUGGAUCCUGCCAAGGGCAAGUGCUCAGGGAAGGAAUUGGGGAUGCAGAGACAUCCGUGGGGAGAAACACUUGUCAACACUGAGCCCGAAGCAGGAUUUCAGGAAGGAGGCGGGGAGGCGGGGCAAGCCCCUGCGGGCUCUGGGUUUCCGAAGCAUCUCGCGGCCUCAUCUUGUGCUGAGCCAAUCCUGAGCGCUGUGUAAGCACCUGGGGCUGUCCCCCGGCAGGCUGCCCUGGCCCAGCUUCAGUCUUGUCGUCCCAGGACCGCGCCCACUGGCCAGCCCUCGCCCGAGUGGGCCCUGCUCCCUCGAGCUCCAUCCCAGACCAUUCAGGGGCCCCACCUGCCAUCCCCAGAGUAUAACAUAAUUUCUGCUCAGAGGCCCUGUUGAGGGGCCCUCCCAGAGGGCAGGUGUCCCCCCAGGUGGGCAGGUGUUCCUCCUUCACAGAACAUUACUGAGCACCUACUGUGUGCCAUGCACCAGGCAAGCUCUUUGUAAGCCUCACCACAUUUAAC
rnacentral:lncRNA from 1 species